GUAGCGUGACGACGUAAGCGGCGUUGGCGUGGUGUCGUAAGACUGGUUUCGCGUGUUGCGGCCCGGGUUCUGUUCGUAGGUUUAGAAUUGUCGCCGGUAGUGGGGCGCCCCAGCUGCCAACUGCACGUGGUUUCUUUCUGGCCUUUGCCUAGUGUCCUGUCCAUUCCGCCCCGUUGGGAAGUGGGAAGCGGACAGGUUCUGUGGGGACAGAGCUGGGAGUCCUGAAGGAGAAAGCGCGCAGCCGAGGGGCUCUGGAGUGCCUUAGAGCAGAGCUGCGGCCGCGGAAGGGGAGCCGCUGAGAAAGGAGGGCCGCUGCAGGCGGGGGUCGAACUGCGGGGUCUGGGCUGCUCCCGCGGAGGGCCUGGGCGGACGCGUGAUGCUGGGGGUCCGCUGCCUGCUCCGGUCUGUGCGCUUCUGUUCCUCCGCCCCCUUCCCCAAGCACAAACCUUCAGCCAAACUGAGCGUGCGGGACGCUCUCGGGACUCAGAACGCGAGUGGGGAGCGCAUUAAGGUCCAGGGAUGGAUUCGUUCUGUCCGAUCCCAGAAGGAAGUCUUAUUCCUGCAUGUAAAUGAUGGGUCAUCUUUGGAAAGCCUUCAGGUUGUUGCAGAUUCAGGCCUUGACAGUAGAGAAUUAACUUUUGGGAGUUCUGUGGAAGUACAAGGGCAGCUGAUAAAAAGUCCAUCCAAAAGGCAAAAUGUGGAACUGAAGGCAGAAAAAAUUAAAGUUAUUGGAAAUUGUGAUGCCAAGAAUUUCCCCAUCAAAUAUAAAGAGAGGCAUCCUCUGGAGUACCUGAGACAAUAUCCUCACUUUAGGUGUAGGACUAACGUUCUGGGUUCUAUACUGAGGAUUCGCAGUGAAGCGACAGCUGCUAUUCAUUCUUUCUUUAAGGACAGUGGCUUCGUACAUAUUCAUACUCCAAUAAUCACAUCCAAUGACUCUGAGGGAGCUGGAGAACUUUUUCAACUUGAACCUUCAGGCAAACUAAAGCUAUCUGAGGAGAAUUUCUUCAAUGUUCCUGCUUUCUUAACUGUGUCAGGACAACUUCAUCUAGAAGUGAUGUCGGGAGCUUUUACUCAAGUGUUUGCCUUUGGUCCGACCUUCCGAGCUGAAAAUUCUCAGAGCCGGAGGCACCUGGCAGAGUUUUAUAUGAUAGAAGCAGAGAUUUCUUUUGUUGACAGCCUUCAAGAUCUCAUGCAGGUCAUAGAGGAACUAUUCAAGGCUACAACAAUGAUGGUUCUCUCAAAAUGUCCUGAAGAUGUUGAACUCUGUCACAAAUUCAUAGCUCCUGGCCAAAAGGACAGAUUAGAACAUAUGCUAAAAAACAACUUUUUAAUCAUUUCUUAUACUGAAGCAGUGGAGAUCUUAAAGCAAGCAUCCCAGAACUUCACCUUUACCCCAGAGUGGGGUGCUGACCUACAGACUGAACAUGAAAAGUACCUGGUGAAGCACUGUGGCAACAUACCUGUCUUCGUUAUUAAUUAUCCAUUAGCACUCAAGCCUUUCUACAUGAGGGAUAAUGAAGAUGGCCCUCAGCACACAUAGGGCUGUAAUAACUGGCUGUGAGUAGGUUCGCAAGAGUUCCUGUAAUGGAUGCAGUGCAGUCUUGAAAAAAAUAAGACAGAUGAGGCUGCUACCUCUCAGUGCAGCAGUAUAGUCCCUCGUGCAAAAUCGCACAGCUAGUAGAGCUCCCUAAGGAAGGAAGAAAUGUGGUAAAUCAGUCUUGACCAUGAGGGAAAGGGAAUACAUAUUUGGGAGCAAGGAUGGGUUCCUUGAACUGCUUGCUGAGUCAAAACGUAUUGCAUUUUUCAGGCGUUUGGUUAUCUGUUGUCAAAUUGCUGACCAGAAAGGUUGUAUCAGUUAUAUGAGCUUAUUGGUUUAUCCAUUCUGUUAUCUGUAUUGUUUAUCUUAUUUUCCUAUAUUUUUUCUUUCAGACUUAGUCUUGCAGAUAUAUUGUUUUCUUAUCACCUUUUUUUUUUUUUUUUUUUGAGACAGAGUCUUGCUCUGUGGCCCAGGCUAGAAUGCAGUGGUGCAAUCUCGGCUCGCUGUGACCUCCACCUCCUGGGUUCAAGCAAUUCUCCUGCCUCGGCCUCCCAAGUAGCUGGGAUUACAGGCAUGCACCACCAAGCCCAAUUAAUUUUUUGUAUUUUAGUAGAGACGGGGGUUGUACCAUGUUGCCCACAAGGUGGUCUCAAACUCCUGAGCUCAGGCAGUCUGCCCACCUCAGCCUCCCAAAGUGCUAGGAUUACAGGUAUGAGCUACUGUGCCCAGCCAUCAUCUCCAUUUUGAUAACUCCAGAAUGGUAUCUUGUUCUUUUAAUUUUGUACUUCUUUGAUUAAUAAUCAGAAUUUAUUUUAUAUGUCCUAGUAACAAUACUACAAAUUAAACUCUUCAUUGCCACAUUAUAAGAAAAAACAGACAAAAAUACACACACCUUAAAUGUUCAACUAAAAAGGAAAGCUGUUAAAUAAUUAUAAUUCUAAUCAAUAAACUAUUAAACAUUAAAGCUAUUAAAACAAUAUGAAGUAUUUUUACUAACAUAGGAAAAAUAUUAGUUUGUAAUAUUAGAUAAGACAAGUGGUAAGUUUUUAUCUGUAAUUAUACUUUGUAUAAGGGAAAAAAUCUGAAAAGAAAUCCAGAAAAAUGUAAUUUUUUGGUGCUGAUAGGUGAUUUUGAAUGUUUCAUAAUUUUUAACACUUUCCACAUUUUUAUAAUUAACAUUUCUAUCACAUUUAUGAAGAAAAUACAUUUGUGUUCAGUAUACCACACAAAUGGUGCAAGAGAGAGGAAAUUGUCCACUUGUAAUUUGUAUGUAGUCAGUAAGAUUCUGGUAGGUAGGUAAUUAGCCAUUGCCAAAACGUGAAAGGUUUACUUACUUCAGAAACUGACUGUUGGAAUCACCUGAAAUUAUAAUGCUAAUAAUUUUUUUU